AUUGAACGCUGGCGGCAGGCUUAACACAUGCAAGUCGAGCGGGGUGAUGGUGCUUGCACUAUCACUUAGCGGCGGACGGGUGAGUAAAGCUUAGGAAUCUGCCUAUUAGUGGGGGACAACAUCUCGAAAGGGAUGCUAAUACCGCAUACGUCCUACGGGAGAAAGCAGGGGAUCACUUGUGACCUUGCGCUAAUAGAUGAGCCUAAGUCGGAUUAGCUAGUUGGUGGGGUAAAGGCCUACCAAGGCGACGAUCUGUAGCGGGUCUGAGAGGAUGGUCGGCCACACUGGGAGUGGGACACGGCCCAGACUACUACGGGAGGCAGCAGUGGGGAAUAUUGGACAAUGGGGGGAACCCUGAUCCAGCCAUGCCGCGUGUGUGAAGAAGGCCUUAUGGUUGUAAAGCACUUUAAGCGAGGAGGAGGCUCUUUUGGUUAAUACCCAAGAUGAGGACGUUACUCGCAGAAUAAGCACCGGCUAACUCUGUGCCAGCCGCCGCCGUAA
rnacentral:rRNA from 1 species